GACGAACGCUGGCGGCGUGCUUAACACAUGCGAGUCGAACGGAAAGGCCCUGCUUUUGUGGGGUGCUCGAGUGGCGAACGGGUGAGUAACACGUGAGUAACCUGCCCUUGACUUUGGGAUAACUUCAGGAAACUGGGGCUAAUACCGGAUAGGAGCUCCUGCUGCAUGGUGGGGGUUGGAAAGUUUCGGCGGUUGGGGAUGGACUCGCGGCUUUUCAGCUAGUUGGUGGGGUAGUGGCUUACCAAGGCUUUGACGGGUAGCCGGCAUGAGAGGAUGACAGGGCACAGUGGAAAUGAGAGAGGGUCCAGAGUCAGACGGGAGGCAGCAGUGGGGAAUAUUGGACAAUGGGCGAAAGCCUGAUCAAGCCAGGACGCGUGGGUGAAGAAGGUCUUCGGAUGGUAAAGCACUGUAGGUGGGGAGGAAAAGAAGUAGGGUAAUAACUAGCUGUUAUGACGGUACCAAAAGAAGAAGAAAAGGAUAAAUUCGUG
rnacentral:rRNA from 1 species